rnacentral:RNase_P_RNA from 1 species
UGAGUUCGCCGGGCGACCGCCGGGAGCAAUCCUGGAGGAAAGUCCGGACUCCACAGGGCAAGGGUGCUGGGUAAUACCCAGGCGGCGCGAGCCGAUGGAAAGUGCAACAGAAAGCAAACCGCCAACGCCGCAAGGCACGGUAAGGGUGAAACGGUGGUGUAAGAGACCACCAGCGCGUCGGGUGACCGGCGCGGCUGGUAAACCCCGCCCGGAGCAAGGCCAUGCAGAGAUGAUGACGGCCCGUCGAUCCUCUUCGGAGGUGAAAGUCUCGGGUAGGCCGCACGAGGUUGUCCGGUAACGGCAAUCCCAGAUAGAUGGUCGCUGCCUGCUUGAAGUCGAGUUUGCUCG